UGCGUGUGAUGGUGUGUUGUUUUCAUUAAAUGAAAAACAACUAAGUGUAACUGUAGGGACUGGGUUUCUCUGUACUGGCUGCCUGGGCUGACACACCCGGUUGAUUAAUAUGACGGGUCCAUUGACGUAGAAGGGGGCUACAUGCCACGGAGGACGCUUUGUUUAUGGUUCAAACAACAAUAGACGCAACUGUCUUAUCUGAGAGCCCAGAGAGGAGGACCUGAGCCCUAGGCUCGUGCCUCAGGACUACCUGGCCUGAUGACUCCUGACUGUCCCCAGUCCACCUGGUCAUGCUGCUGCUCCAGUUUCAACUGUUCUGCCUGCGCCUAGGGAAACCUGACCUGUUCACCAGACGUGCUACCAUGUCCCCGACCUGCUGUUUUCGAUUAUCUCUCUCUACCGCACCUGCUGUCUCAAAUUGAGUGCUUGGCUAUGAAAAGCCAACUGACAUUUACUCCUGAGGUACUGACCUGUUGCACCCUCUACAACCACUGUGACCCUGCUGGUCAUCUAUGAACAUUUGAACAUCUUGAAGAACAAUCUGGCCUUAAAAUGGCCAUGUACUCUUGUAAUCUCCACCCGGCACAGCCAGAAGAGGACUGGCCACCCCUCAGAGCCUGGUUCCUCUCUAGUUUUAUUCCUAGCUUCCUGCCUUUUCUAGGGAGUUUUUCCUAGCCACCUUGCUUCUAUAUCGGCAUUGCUUGCUGUUUGGGGUUUUAAGCUGGGUUUCUGUAUAUCUGCUGAUGUUAACAGGGCUUUAUAAAUACAUUUGAUUGAUUGAUAGAUAAGUGCCGUGUGGAACAUGUUGGUGAGAGUGGCAUCGGUAAAACUCCCCUGUAAAGCCAUGGCUGAUUGUCAGUACCAUUGUGCGCACAUUCAUGUCAAGUUCUUUCAUUCACCGUGCCAAAGCCCUGAGUGAUCCACCACUACAUGUCUUAUCAGUUGGAAGCCAGCCACUGAUAUGACCAUUUUCACAUCCCCUCCAGAUAGGGAGACAGGCCCACUGGCGCCAUUAGGAACACAUCAGGGUUAUGUCAUGUCUAGAUCUCCAAUCCAGAGUGCUGCUUAACUAGCCUUGGAGAGCCGUAGAAUCAGCAUGUGUGUUACAGCUCAAUUUGCUCAACAUCUCCUUUUGAGUCUUAUCAGUUCAAUUAAGGAAGUAACUCAGUUCAAUAUAGUAUGAAUGUCACGGGUUUCAUAUACCAUGACAAAUCAACCACAAAUAAGGGAAAUCGAUAUGUUGCCGCAGUGGACAGGCAUAUGUCCUUUUGUAUCGGAGCUGUGCCAUCGCCAAAUGCAGGCCAUACUGAUUGGCAUUGAAGCCCAUGGCCAUUCAAUAAAGAAGACCACAGGAUGAAUGGAGCUCAAGAUGUUGACACACACUGUUCCAUCUGGGCCCUGUGUAAAGUCAUGUUGGCAGAGCUGGCUAAAUGCACAAGAUAAGAAAGAACUCCACAGAGCAAAAGCAGGAUACUUGCC
rnacentral:lncRNA from 1 species